GACGAACGCUGGCGGCGUGCUUAACACAUGCAAGUCGAACGGAAAGGCCCUGCUUUUGUGGGGUUCUCGAGUGGCGAACGGGUGAGUAACACGUGAGUAACCUGCCCCUGACUUUCGGAUAACUUCAGGAAACUGGGGCUAAUACCGGAUAGGAGCUCCUGCUGCAUGGUGGGGGUUGGAAAGUUUCGGCGGUUGGGGAUGGACUCGCAGCUUAUCAGCUUCUUGGUGGGGUAGUGGCUUACCAAGGCUUUGACGGGUAGCCGGCCUGAGAGGGUGACCGGCGACAUUGGGACUGAGAUACGGCCCAGACUCCUACGGGAGGCAGCAGUGGGGAAUAUUGCACAAUGGGCGGAAGCCUGAUGCAGCAGCGCCGCGUGCGGGAUGACGGCCUUCGGGUUGUAAACCGCUUUCGCCUGUGACGAAGAGUGAGUGACGGUAAUGGGUAAAGAAGCACCGGCUAACUACGUG
rnacentral:rRNA from 1 species